rnacentral:lncRNA from 1 species
CCGGGGACUCGCUGCCGUCGUCGCCUGCCUCGUCGGCGAGGCCGCGUACGACCGCCUCCACGGCUCCUCCGGCCAGCGAGCUUCCUGCGGUAAGUCAGAGAGCCCCUCUCCCCGGCCAGGGAAUCAUCUCCCACGCCUCCUUUAUUUCCCCUUCCUGUAGCUGAAUGAGAUGGCGCGCCUGUCAAGAUGUUGAGAUCUUGCAGCCGAUGUGUGCGGUUUUAGCAUACAGAUUUUGACGUUUAGGGACUCGCCCUCGGUAAAGUUUGAUGCUUGCUCAUUCAUAAUGCUUAGUUUGCUUGGUUUAGAGGCGACCGCGAGAGCUUAUUUUGCUUUGCCUAUGUUAUUAAUGGCUCUGAAACUGGCUAGCCCUUUUCCGCUCGCUAAAGAUACAGAGAAUGUUUUGUUCAGAGUAGAAAUUCCCCAAGUUGUGUGCUUUGAUGAUUAUCUACUUAUCCUAGUGGUCUGCCAAAGUACGUGAGAUUCUCUUAUGCUUUUGGCAGAAAAAUCCAUCGCGUCGUGCUGAUGGUUGGGUUGUGUUAGGAACUUAGGAUCAGUUGUCUCUGCCAACCCUCAUUUCAGAUUCAGCUUUGUAUGUUGAACUUCCAAAGGCCACAAUGAAACCAAUGCUAAUAACUUUGCCUUAUGGUUGUAUAAUUGUAUUGCUCCUAAACUGGCACGUGGCGGUUGUUUUGCAGGUCUUGAUGCACACUGCACCUGAACUUGAUACAUGAGAUAUCUCUACACACGACACCUGAAAAGAAAAGAAACCAACAAUGCAAGACUUAUUCUUGAUCAGGUAAUACUAGUUGCUCAUAAGUGAGACAGCAGAAUAAAGUAGAAGCUACCGGAUCCACACCUGCUAAUAGAACCUCUUCUUCUUUACACCUGAAAAAAAGAAAAGGAAAAGUAAGGAUACGUGGUUGCAAUAGGAAGCCCAAGUGAUUUCAUUCAUAUACAUUGAGAUACACAAGUAACUACUUUUUUCUAUUUUAGUUUCUACGGCCACCGUUAAGGAUAGUCUCGACGAUGAAUAAUUCUUACUUUUCCCGGCAACACCCUCUUCCUGUUUUAAGAAUGUGGAUUGUGUUUUGAAGUCGAAGCAUAUGAUUGAGUAUGAAAACCAGAUCGAUGCUUUCAGAAGUCACCGGGAAUUUGCUCUAGUUUGAGCUCAUCGUUUUUCUAUAUUUUCAAUUUCCUAAGGAAUGAUUGCAAGUCUUGCGGUGAUAUCCAUGGAAUGAUAUUUUAAAUUUUCUAUAUUUUAAGCUUAUCGUUUCUUUAUUUUGCGGGGCAAGAAAUAAGAGUUAAAGCCAUGCAUGGAUACCGCUGUAGGACUUGCAAUCAUUCCUUAGGAUAAUCAAAAUAUAGAAAAAUGGUAAGCUUGAACUAGAGCAAAUCCUAGUGACUUUUGGGAGCAUUAUGCCUCCAAUCGAUCUAGUUUUCACACACAACAUAUACUCUAUCUUCAUGACCUAAUCCGCAUUCUCGAAAUAGGAAGAUGGUAUUACUGGAAAAAUAGGAAUUGCUCAUCGUGGAGGCUACCCUCCAUGGUGAUUGUAGAAACUAAAAUAGAAAGCAGUAGUUACUCAUUUAUCUCAAUGUAAAUGAACGAAGUAAAGUCUUCCUACAGCUACCACCCGUUCUUAGUUAUUUUCGUUUCUUUUAGGUUCUAAAAUAGAUGUUUCUAUGUAGGCUCGAAUCAGGUAGUUUUACCUCUGUUUUGUUGUCUCACUUAUGAGUAGCCGGUACUACAGAAUCAAGAGAUAAGCAUUGCUUUGUCAGGUGUGGCAUGUAGAGAUAUCUCAUGUGUAGCAAGUUCAAGCGUGGCUGAGCAAGCUUUCCACCUCCACAAAGACCUUUUCUAUUACCGUUUGCAGUUCCAAUCUCUUACUACCAUUCACGGACCGAAAGAUGGCAAGUGAAGCAGGCCACGCAGCCUGCUUUUCCCAGCUGUAGGAUCGGCCGGCCGGACGGUUCAGAUCGUGUAAAUCUUGAGUUUUUUUUCAAAAAGACCCUUCUAUGUACUAAAAAUUAACCUGCAGUCAGAGUAGUUCAUAUCUUUUUUUCACAAUCACCCUCAAGCUUCACUUAAAUCAACCCGCAGUCCGAGGAUCCCUCUCAGUUUUGUUUACGAAAACUCCCUCAGAUUUUUCUGAAAUCAACCUGCAGUCCGUCUUUGGUUAUUUCAAAAAAGAACCUCAAAUUUCUACGAAAUAAACCCGCAAACCACCCAUCCCUUCGUUAAUUUACAAAAUAGACCACAUUUACUCAUAAAAUGAAUCCACAGUUUGUUGUUUUCACUGCUUCACAAAAGUAAUCUCAUUUUUGCAUAAAAUUAGCCAAUGCUUCACCUAAUGGCACGUUGUUCUUCAAAAAGGAACCUCCAUAUCUUAUAGAACCAACCCAUAGCAAUCUAAGACUCUAUUUAAUUCUUGAAUUUAUAAGAAAUCACUAGAAGGUACGACGACACUAAAAUUAAAAAAAAUUAUGUUACAACAGUUGGUAAAUCACAAUGUUUAAUUUGUAUUACAUUGUGGAACAUGAAUAAGUGAAUAAAGCGCUUUAGAAAAUAUUACACGCACCCCUUCAUUUCCCAAAAUAUUGAUAUUGCCAUGUACUCUUUGAACCAAAAUAAAAGUAGCUUCUUCUAUGGAUCAACAGUUUAUAGACAACCUACAACAGAGUUCCCAUCGACUCCUUCACUGGAUGAUUCGUCAUUUCAACGUAUUUGAUAAAUAAAUCCAUUUAAACAUCAAUAAAUCUAAGCGGUUAACAAAUGCAAGCAUGGGUAUCUGAUAAAACUAAAAUAUUUGCGUUACUUAUCUAACUUCUAAUCU